UGGGAGAUUUGAGUAUGGGACCGGGCCCAGAUAUAUUUGGGUUUUCUCAAGGGAAACUGGGGUUUCUAGGGUUUAUCAUAUAUUGGGAUUUGUAUACACUUUAAUGCGCAUGUAUGUGGGAAAAGUUCUCAAAGAUGGCAACCUUAUGCAUCAAGGUACACCUGAAGGUAGAAAAAUCUGAUCAUCUUCACAGAGAAUAUAUAGAUAUUUAAAAGGGGAAAUUAAAAAAAUAACAUCAUGACAUAUUAUUACCCAACUCAAUUAUUUUUCCCAUUUUUUUUCCCCAAAACACGCUUUCUAUAUAAAUACCCUCAACCAAAAUAAAAAUAAAAAAAUAUCUAAAUUACCGUCCCUUAUUUUUACCUUGCCCACUCCUCUCUCUUCUAUCCCACCAAAAUAAGGGCUCCAGCACACAUGUGCUUCGACAAUAGUGCUCCGACACUAUGUAAAGUGCGGUCCGGCUCCGACACUGUGUAAAGUGUGGUCCGGCUCCAAUACUGUGUAGUGUGAUCCGGCAAUAGAGCUCCGGCACUGUGUAAAUUGAUGUCCGUCAAUUGCAAAGGGCAAUCUAGUAGUUGCAAAGGGUGGUCCAGCAGAUGUCCAGCACUAUGUCCAGCACUAUGUAAAGAACGGUCCGACAAUACUCAGUUUCGGUCUGAUAGUUGUCUUAGAGCAGUCCUUCCGCUCUAUCAAUGUGCUACUUGGAUCCAAAAGUCAACGUCAAAUCUGUUCAAAAUGAUUUUUUGUGUUUGGAAGGACAUUUCGUCUAAAAAUAAUUGUGACAAAAUGAUUUUUUGUGUAUGAAGGCAUUUCGUCUUAAAAAAAUUAACUUUUUCCCUUGAGGUAUUUGCAUAGAAAGUUUGUCUUGGGGAAAAAAGUAAGAAAAAAAGGUUGGUUGGGUAAGUUACAUAGAAAGUGUGGUCAAGAAUCUCUAUAAAGGAUCUAAAUCAAUUUUCAAUAAAAUUUGAAAUUAAAAAACUGGUACAGGUCUUACGGAUCUGUGGACACUUAAUUCUAUGGUGAAAUAGACAGUAUUGAUAAUUUGGUACAAUACACACGAUUUUUAGAGCUUAAAAUCCUUUUUUUUUCCACAACUAAUAUGUUCAUGCAGACAUGAUCAAUGUAAAGGUAUUCUAAUGCUUGAAUUGUCAUUUUUUAUGAAGUAUGAGGUGAGGCUUUACGAUGCAGAGAGGAAAACUAACAAAAAUAAAAAAUAACUAAAACAAGUGGAAAGAUUCUACAUUUUCUCUAUGUAGUAAGGGACUCCACCAUCAAACUCUUUACUAAUCACCAAUCACCUUAUAGAGACUGACAAUACAAACUUAUAAAGAAUAAUAAAUAUAAAUAAAAUAGAAAUAAGAAACUAAACUUUAUAUCACCCUUAUCUCUUAAAAACAAUUCUAACAUAUCCUAACCAACCAAUCAUGUUAAUCCUUAUCCAUAUCCAUCUUUUUUAAAAUAAUUAAAAUUUCAAUUCUACCCCUUAAAUCUCUAUAACUAAACAAAUAAGAAUAACCCAAAAGAAAACUAAAAAUCUAAAUAACAUACUUUUUAAGUCCUAAACAAUAUAAACAUAAAAAAUAAAAUAACUAUUUGUUUUUUUUUUUUGAGAAGCUCGACUUUGAAGUUAUUGAACUUAAAUAUUUAAGAAGCCUUCUCUAAAGUUGAUAAUGCAGUCCCAACAUUAUUCUCGAUACUUUGUUUUCAAUAUAUCAAUUGAUCAAAUACUUCAUGAACAACUUGAUGUAGAACCUUGGGAUCUCAAGCUUAAUCUUGAUUUCUUUUUCAAAAUCUUCAUAAAACUCAAGAAAAUCAUGCUGAAUCCCGAUAUCAUGUGAAUGUUCCUCAAAUCGUGAUUCUUGCAUCAUGAUGUGCUCAUUACAUAUACGAUAGGCAUUUGGAAUCGAUGGUGGAGGUAGUUGUGUCACUAAGGUAAAAGUUAGCCCCUAACCUAUGCGAUUGAGAGUAAAGAAUUUACAACGAGGAACUCUUUGAGAAAAUAAUUAUGCCCAACACUGUUUGUCGUGG
rnacentral:lncRNA from 1 species